rfam:Pseudomonas fluorescens Pf-5, complete genome.
CUACCCUUUGACCUUCGCUGCAAAUUCAGCGAACGGGUUUGGCGACCCGGAUA